AUUUGUUCUUGGCCUUUUGGCUAAGAUCAAGUGUAGUAUCUGUUCUUAUUAGUUUAAUAUUUGAUAGGAGAGCCAAUAGUUUACACAAUAUCAAAUUAAUUUCUUUAAGGGAAGAGUUUGUUACAGUAGCUUGCUGCUGGGGCUCUCGUGCGUCGCCUUUGCGUUGCACUACUGCAUUGGCCUGGUGCACCCUCA